rnacentral:rRNA from 1 species
UUGACGGGGCCGCACAAGCGGUGGAGCAUGUGGUUAAUUCGAUGAUACGCGAGGAACCUUACCUGGGCUCAAAUGUAUGUUGACGUAUUCUGAAAGGGAUACUUCUUCGGACAAUAUACAAGGUGCUGCAUGGUUGUCGUCAGCUCGUGCCGUGAGGUGUCGGGUUAAGUCCCAUAACGAGCGCAACCCUACCUUUAGUUGCCAUCAGGUAAUGCUGGGGACUCUAAAGGAACUGCCUACGCAAGUAGUGAGGAAGGCGGGGAUGACGUCAAAUCAGCACGGCCCUUACGUCCAGGGCUACACACGUGCUACAAUGGCCGAUACAGAGGGCAGCUACCUGGUGACAGGAUGCAAAUCUCCAAAGUCGGUCUCAGUUCGGAUCGGAGUCUGCAACCCGACUCCGUGAAGUUGGAUUCGCUAGUAAUCGCGCAUCAGCCAUGGCGCGGUGAAUACGUUCCCGGGCCUU